rnacentral:rRNA from 1 species
GGGCCCGCACAAGCGGAGGAACAUGUGGUUUAAUUCGAUGAUACGCGAGGAACCUUACCCGGGAUUGAACGUAAGCGGAAUAACGUCAAAAGAAGUUAGCUAGCAAUAGUCGCUUACGAGGUGCUGCAUGGUUGUCGUCAGCUCGUGCCGUGAGGUGUCGGCUUAAGUGCCAUAACGAGCGCAACCCUUAUUGCCAGUUACUAACAGGUGAAGCUGAGGACUCUGGCGAGACUGCCGGCGUAAGCUGUGAGGAAGGUGGGGAUGACGUCAAAUCAGCACGGCCCUUACAUCCGGGGCGACACACGUGUUACAAUGGUGGGGACAGCGGGGAGCUACCCGGCGACGGGAUGCCAAUCCAAAAACCCCAUCUCAGUUCGGAUCGGAGUCUGCAACUCGACUCCGUGAAGCUGGAUUCGCUAGUAAUCGCGCAUCAGCCAUGGCGCGGUGAAUACGUUCCCGGGCCUU